GGCGUCGAGCGGCGGACGGGUGAGUAAUGCCUAGGAAAUUGCCCUGAUGUGGGGGAUAACCAUUGGAAACGAUGGCUAAUACCGCAUGAUGCCUACGGGCCAAAGAGGGGGACCUUCGGGCCUCUCGCGUCAGGAUAUGCCUAGGUGGGAUUAGCUAGUUGGUGAGGUAAGGGCUCACCAAGGCGACGAUCCCUAGCUGGUCUGAGAGGAUGAUCAGCCACACUGGAACUGAGACACGGUCCAGACUCCUACGGGAGGCAGCAGUGGGGAAUAUUGCACAAUGGGCGCAAGCCUGAUGCAGCCAUGCCGCGUGUGUGAAGAAGGCCUUCGGGUUGUAAAGCACUUUCAGUCGUGAGGAAGGUAGUGUAGUUAAUAGCUGCAUUAUUUGACGUUAGCGACAGAAGAAGCACCGGCUAACUCCGUGCCAGCAGCCGCGGUAAUACGGAGGGUGCGAGCGUUAAUCGGAAUUACUGGGCGUAAAGCGCAUGCAGGUGGUUUGUUAAGUCAGAUGUGAAAGCCCGGGGCUCAACCUCGGAAUUGCAUUUGAAACUGGCAGACUAGAGUACUGUAGAGGGGGGUAGAAUUUCAGGUGUAGCGGUGAAAUGCGUAGAGAUCUGAAGGAAUACCGGUGGCGAAGGCGGCCCCCUGGACAGAUACUGACACUCAGAUGCGAAAGCGUGGGGAGCAAACAGGAUUAGAUACCCUGGUAGUCCACGCCGUAAACGAUGUCUACUUGGAGGUUGUGGCCUUGAGCCGUGGCUUUCGGAGCUAACGCGUUAAGUAGACCGCCUGGGGAGUACGGUCGCAAGAUUAAAACUCAAAUGAAUUGACGGGGGCCCGCACAAGCGGUGGAGCAUGUGGUUUAAUUCGAUGCAACGCGAAGAACCUUACCUACUCUUGACAUCCAGAGAACUUUCCAGAGAUGGAUUGGUGCCUUCGGGAACUCUGAGACAGGUGCUGCAUGGCUGUCGUCAGCUCGUGUUGUGAAAUGUUGGGUUAAGUCCCGCAACGAGCGCAACCCU
rnacentral:rRNA from 1 species